CUUUUGGAGAAGCCCAAAGCAAAGCCACGAGAGCUUAUGCUUAAAGUGGACAAUAUCAUACCAUUGUAGAGAGUCGUGAUUACUAACAUAGUAUUAGAGUUAUGCCCUAAACU